GAGAGGCCAAUGAGGCUCCCGGGGUCGGGCCCAGGGUGGAUAAAUUGGGAAUUUUUUUGGGGCAGCGGCGAAAUUUCCUCCUCGGAGGCUCCGGAGCGGGCNNNNNNNNNNNNNNNNNNNNNNNNNNNNNNNNNGCCGCCGCCGCCGCGCCGGGAAUUGCGGGAUUGAUCCCGAAUUCCCAUCCCGGAUCCGCCGCGGGACCUCGGGAGAAUCCAGGGAAAGUUUUUUCCUCCUUCCCCCGUGGAUGGAUGAGCGGAGCGGAUUCCAAAUCCUGGGAAUUCCUGGAGGAGAAACGCCCGGAGCCUGGGGAUGGUGCGGGACUCGGGGCCCGUCGGGAUCUGACCCCUGAGGGCUCCGGAGCCGCAUCCUGACCCCAAAAACCCCAAAAACCACGGGAAAAACUCGAUCUCAUUUUUAUGCCUCCGGAUUUAUCCCCCGGGGAAGUUUUCUCCCGGACCACGGAAUUCCCGAGGGAAAUGCCCCAAUUCCUGGCUGGAAUGUGAUGGGGAGGAGGAGGAGGAGGAGGAUCCCCGCGGGCCUCGCUGGGAGCCGGGGACGGGCGCCCCAAAUCCGGGGACUUGUCCUGCUGAGGUGACCCCAAAACAUCGGGAGCAGCUCGGGAGUGACCCCAAAACACUUGGAGGUGUCCCCAAAUCCUCAGGAUCCCUUUGCUGCUGCCCUCAAGCCCCUGUUUGGGAUCUGUUUGGAAUUGUCCCCAAGUCCCCAGGAUCCUUUUGCCACCAUCCCCAGGAUCCGUUCAGAGCUGUCCCCAGGACCCCUUUGGAUCUGUCCCCAAACCACAGGAUCCCUUUGGAAUUGUCCCCACGUCCCCAGGAUCCGUUCAGAGCUGUCCCCAGGAUCCGUUCAGAGCUGUCCCCAGGAUCCCUUUGGAAUUGUCCCCAAGUCCCCAGGGUCGCUCUGCCUCUGUCCCCUCUCCCUCUGACGAUGAUGCUGAACUCGGACCCCCCCUCCCUCUCCGUCGCCCCGUCCCACCCCGACCCCGCUCCCUCCCC
ensembl:lncRNA